CCCCGCACAAGCAGCGGAGCGUGUGGUUUAAUUCGAUGUUACACGAAGAACCUUACCAGGGUUUGACAUGCAAGUGGUAGGAAGCCGAAAGGUGACCGACCCUUCGGGGAGCUUGCACAGGUGCUGCAUGGCUGUCGUCAGCUCGUGUCGUGAGAUGUUCGGUUAAGUCCGCUAACGAGCGCAACCCUCGCUGUGUGUUAUAUGUGUCACACGGGACUGCCGGUCUUAAGCCGGAGGAAGGUGGGGAUGAUGUCAAGUCCUCAUGGCCCUUAUGUCCAGGGCUACACACGUGCUACAAUGGCCGGUACAACGAGUUGCGAGUCGGUGACGGCGAGCUAAUCUCUUAAAGCCAAUCUCAGUUCGGAUUGUAGGCUGCAACUCGCCUACAUGAAGUCGGAAUCGCUAGUAAUCGCGGAUCAGCACGCCGCGGUGAAUACGUUCCCGGGCCUU
rnacentral:rRNA from 1 species